rnacentral:lncRNA from 1 species
GUCCUAGUGUGAAAUAAAGCCAAUGGGAAUUGGUCUUUUUAAACACAUCUUCAUACAUGUAUACGUUUUCUAACGGGUUUGUUCAGGCAAUAUUGAAAUUAUGUUUACUCAAUGCGCAGUUACUGAAGUUUAUAUUUGCUACUUUUCUUCUUAAUUUCAUAUAAAUGAUUUUUUGAUUUUUUUCUUCGAAAAAUUUGUGGUGUAGAAAUAGGGAAUGGACACAGAUACCUAAUCACAUUUAACAAAAGAAUUUCUGUGUAAUGUCAUCAAUCUGUAUUACACGUAGACAGGAUGUUCUCCAGAAAACUAUACGUUAUACACACUCGAGGGUACACGCACUGUCGUAAUGGAAAAUUACUGUAUGUUAUAAUUACCUGUAAUCAGCUUUGCAACAAAUCAGACUGACCAUG